rnacentral:rRNA from 1 species
GCGCAGCAGUCGCGAAAACUUCACAAUGUGCGAAAGCACGAUGAGGGAAUCCCAAGUGCUUGCACGUAAGUGUAAGCUGUUUCUCUGUCUAAAACGCAGAGAGAGUAAGGGCUGGGUAAGACGGGUGCCAGCCGCCGCGGUAAUACCUGCAGCUCGAGUGGUGACCGUUAUUAUUGGGCCUAAAACGUCCGUAGCCGGUUUAAUAAAUGCCUGGGUAAAUCGGACCGCUUAACGGUUCGAAUUCCGGGUAGACUGUUAAACUUGAGACCGGGAGAAGUUAGAGGUACUCCUGGGGUAGAGGUGAAAUUCUGGUAAUCCUAGGGGGACCACCAGUGGCGAAGGCGUCUAACUAGAACGGGUCUGACGGUGAGGGACGAAGCCCU